rnacentral:rRNA from 1 species
CUGGCGACCGGCGCACGGGUGAGUAACACGUAUCCAACCUGCCGAUAACUCGGGGAUAGCCUUUCGAAAGAAAGAUUAAUAUCCGAUAGGAUAUCAAGGUCGCAUGAUCUUGAUAUUAAAGAAUUUCGGUUAUCGAUGGGGAUGCGUUCCAUUAGUUAGUUGGCGGGGUAACGGCCCACCAAGACGACGAUGGAUAGGGGUUCUGAGAGGAAGGUCCCCCACAUUGGAACUGAGACACGGUCCAAACUCCUACGGGAGGCAGCAG